AGAGUUUGAUCCUGGCUCAGAGUGAACGCUGGCGGUAGGCCUAACACAUGCAAGUCGAACGGCAGCACAGUAAGAGCUUGCUCUUACGGGUGGCGAGUGGCGGACGGGUGAGGAAUACAUCGGAAUCUACUUUUUCGUGGGGGAUAACGUAGGGAAACUUACGCUAAUACCGCAUACGACCUACGGGUGAAAGCAGGGGAUCUUCGGACCUUGCGCGAUUGAAUGAGCCGAUGUCGGAUUAGCUAGUUGGCGGGGUAAAGGCCCACCAAGGCGACGAUCCGUAGCUGGUCUGAGAGGAUGAUCAGCCACACUGGAACUGAGACACGGUCCAGACUCCUACGGGAGGCAGCAGUGGGGAAUAUCGGACAAUGGGCGCAAGCCUGAUCCAGCCAUACCGCGUGGGUGAAGAAGGCCUUCGGGUUGUAAAGCCCUUUUGUUGGGAAAGAAAUCCAGCUGGUUAAUACCCGGUUGGGAUGACGGUACCCAAAGAAUAAGCACCGGCUAACUUCGUGCCAGCAGCCGCGGUAAUACGAAGGGUGCAAGCGUUACUCGGAAUUACUGGGCGUAAAGCGUGCGUAGGUGGUUGUUUAAGUCUGUUGUGAAAGCCCUGGGCUCAACCUGGGAACUGCAGUGGAAACUGGACGACUAGAGUGUGGUAGAGGGUAGCGGAAUUCCUGGUGUAGCAGUGAAAUGCGUAGAGAUCAGUGGAACAUCCAUGGCGAAGCAGCUACCUGGACCAACACUGACACUGAGGCACGAAAGCGUGGGGAGCAAACAGGAUU
rnacentral:rRNA from 1 species